AUUUAGCUUGUUUAUGUAGAUGGAAAAAAAUGACUGCUCUAAGUUGUGUUUGGAGUGUGUUGUUCUGUCUGUUUCUGUUUCAUCAUUCAAAAGAGCAAUAUGUAGGAAUAGAUGUUACUAAUACACAAAUAUCAGUGGGAACCUCGUAUAUAUCCGUCAAUUGUGGUCUUAAUGGAAAGAGUAUUUUUAAGGAUGGAUACUCGAAAAUCGAAUUGCAUCUUCAAUGUCGCCAAAACAAAACCAAUGACUGGCAGACAAUUGUUUUGCUCAAUGAUUCCGGAUCAUUCAUAACAAACAUAAGUAAAGACAUUGAAACAAACCUAGAGAAAAAUGGAACGUGUGACUACGAUUACAACCGAUAUUGCAAGGGAUUCAGGAUAUAUGCCAAGAUAUCAAUACACUUAGAAUCCUGUAAAGGAUAUCUUGAUCCUAGCUUUCGAUGCCAACUAUUUGGUAUAUAUGGAAGAUUCAAAGGUGAUAGAUCAAAGGAAGUUCAACUGGAAAUUUCAAGUAAACCAUCAUAUACUGAUUCCCCAACAAUUAUUUAUCCGUUGACUUCAAAAGCUGUCAAACUUGGAGAAGUGCUUCAGAUGCAAUGUACAGGAGUAGAAGACGUCAAUAUUCAAACAAACACAGACAUCAGAUGGUGCAAGAACGUUUUAGGACAGUAUGAGGUCAUAUCCUUACAAGAGACUUCUCAAACGCAAAUUGUAUCCCAGAGUAAAGAUGGCUGUACAUCCGUACAAAUAUCGGAGAUCUUUUAUCACAUAACGGACGAAGACAAUGAGCUAGAGAUUAUGUGUGAGUUGGGAUAUAAUGAAAACAGUAAAACAUGUGACAAAGGAAGAUUCAACUCAACACUUCGAAUCGCUACCGAGUUAAACGAUGACGAAUGGGCACUGUCUCCCGUUAUAGUUUACAGUGACGAUUCGAUGCUUAAUCCACAAAACAUUACUAUAGAAGGAAUAGGAAGGACUGUACAACUUCUCUGUGUUGGGUCAAAAUCAAGCCAGAUCGAAUUAAUGAAGGAAGAAAUUAUGUGGUGCGUAAGGAACAAAAAUAAUACCGAAUGGACACCAAUUGUUCUUCAAGAAAACAAAUUAGAGACAAUGAUAAACUCUAGCAGAAAAAUAACAAUUUACAGUAAAGUCACGUAUCACUUAAUUGGGUUGGAUAAAUCCAUUGAUAUUAUGUGUCAGAUUUCCUCUUCACCCAAAUGUGGAAGUGGAGUGAUAUCUUCUAAUGUCUCCCUGCAAUUAAAUCCUAGUGAAUCGGAAGUAUUAUCUGAAACAAAGAGAAAGAAGAGAAGCAUGGCUGGCAGUGACAUUGAUUAUCUCGGGGACACUAUUGAUAGUCAUCCUGGUCCUCGUCACGAUUCUUCUAAUUCUUGCACACAGGAAAGGUGGACUGUCCCUGUUUGGAAUCCUGAUUCAAAUUGAAAGAAACAAGAGAGUUGUUAAUAUUCAGGGAGAGAGCCGUUUAGAUACAGAUGUUGACAGACACGUGUUAGUUGAUCGAACAGCAGGACUUAUUUACAACAAUCAGCAAAUCAGCUCAAAUGUAACCAAUAGACCAAGCUACCAAACAACUGCAAUAACACAAAUCAACUCAGAACAACCUGCUUACGAAGAGAUUAACAGCAGGAAUAGAUCAACACAAGAGUACGAAGCUUUGUCACAUUCUACAAAAUAUUAAUUUAAGUUGAAAGGCAGGGAUACAUUUCUUCCAACCGUUAUUAGUAUUUUUGAAGCCAGUUAUCAAUAGUCCCUUUUUUUUGCCUUAUCAUGGAUUUAGACAAUAAAAAGGUAUAUAAUGUGAAAAUAUUUGUUACAACUUAAACAUGUACGAUUUUAUAUAGAAGGAAAAUAUACAAAAAUACUAACAAAUACUUAGGUGAUUUGAUCGAUGAUAACUUGAAAACUUGUAUUUUUAUAUAUCGUAUGCAAAAUGAUAAUUGUAUCAGUGAAAAAGAUAGGUAAUAAUUACUUGUAGGAUCGACAGUGAAUACGUUAUUGUCAAAAUAGAUUGCGUUUUAAUUUGAUUUUUUACGGGCCGCCAGAAGGCGCUCCGUUAUUUAGAUAUUGUAGCUGCGUUUUUGCGGGAUAGUUUUAUUUUUUAUAGAAGUACUUUCAUGCUUAUUUUAAUGAAUUAAAAAUAAAUUUGCAUGUAGAAAUAUG
rnacentral:misc_RNA from 1 species